GAAACUGUUGGGAGAGGAAUCGUAUCUCCAUAUUUCUUCUUUCAGCCCCAAUCCAAGGGUUGUAGCUGGAACUUUCCAUCAGUUCUUCCUUUCUUUUUCCUCUCUAAGCCUUUGCCUUGCUCUGUCACAGUGAAGUCAGCCAGAGCAGGGCUGUUAAACUCUGUGAAAUUUGUCAUAAGGGUGUCAGGUAUUUCUUACUGGCUUCCAAAGAAACAUAGAUAAAGAAAUCUUUCCUGUGGCUUCCCUUGGCAGGCUGCAUUCAGAAGGUCUCUCAGUUGAAGAAAGAGCUUGGAGGACAACAGCACAACAGGAGAGUAAAAGAUGCCCCAGGGCUGAGGCCUCCGCUCAGGCAGCCGCAUCUGGGGUCAAUCAUACUCACCUUGCCCGGGCCAUGCUCCAGCAAAAUCAAGCUGUUUUCUUUUGAAAGUUCAAACUCAUCAAGAUUAUGCUGCUCACUCUUAUCAUUCUGUUGCCAGUAGUUUCAAAAUUUAGUUUUGUUAGUCUCUCAGCACCGCAGCACUGGAGCUGUCCUGAAGGUACUCUCGCAGGAAAUGGGAAUUCUACUUGUGUGGAUUCAAGCAACAUUGUUUAGAAUGGUCAAUGCUCUAAGUGGAUCAAAAGGCUUAUUAUUUUUUGGAAGACAAAUUUGAAAAACCU
rnacentral:lncRNA from 1 species